ensembl:lncRNA
AAGAGGAACAGUCUGUUUUGAUUAACAACUGGUUUAAUGUUUCUUGGACCAGAGGCAUUUCUCUGUAGUAAACAUUGCUGCAUUUAUAAUUCAUAACCACAGGGAGUGCCAAGUCCCACAACGAGGACAAAGGCAACAGAGGAAUGAAGUCUGGUGUGGUCUCUUGGCGGAUGGAUGCUCUCCUGGGAUGCCUACAGCUGCCCAGCCAACCUCAGAGGUGUCAGGGUGUGCUCUGCUGACCACAAGUGCCACUACAAGGAAUUGCCACUGGCUGGAUGUGCAGGAUCCGACCAGAAUGAAGGAAGGACCUGCGGAGGAGUUGCCUGGGGAGUUUGUCCCGAUGUGAAGAUAAACUAUCAACACUGCUGUCAGAAGGGAUGCUCUGCUCUGAGCAGCCCACCAGAGGUGAUCUGUAUCUGAAGAUUUAUGGCCACCAAGCCACGUAUUCUAUGUGUGUUGCCUCCUUUGAGUCAGGGAGGACAAUUACAAUAUGCUUCUGACACCAUCCAUCCUCAUCUUGUUCAU